rnacentral:rRNA from 1 species
AUUGAACGCUGGCGGCAGGCUUAACACAUGCAAGUCGAGCGGGGUGAUGGUGCUUGCACUAUCACUUAGCGGCGGACGGGUGAGUAACGCUUAGGAAUCUGCCUAUUAGUGGGGGACAACAUCUCGAAAGGGAUGCUAAUACCGCAUACGUUCUACGGGAGAAAGCAGGGGAUCACUUGUGACCUUGCGCUAAUAGAUGAGCCUAAGUCGGAUUAGCUAGUUGGUGGGGUAAGGGCCUACCAAGGCGACGAUCUGUAGCGGGUCUGAGAGGAUGAUCCGCCACACUGGGACUGAGACACGGCCCAGACUCCUGCGGGAGGCAGCAGUGGGGAAUAUUGGACAAUGGGGGGAACCCUGAUCCAGCCAUGCCGCGUGUGUGAAGAAGGCCUUAAGGUUGUAAAGCACUUUAAGCGAGGAGGAGGCUCUUUUGGUUAAUACCCAAGAUGAGUGGACGUUACUCGCAGAAUAAGCACCGGCUAACUCUGUGCCAGCCGCCGCCGUAA